rnacentral:rRNA from 1 species
GUAGCUACACAUGCAGCCGAGCGGUAGAGAUUCUUCGGGAUCUUGAGAGCGGCGUACGGGUGCGUAACACGUGUGCAACCUGCCUUUAUCUAGGGGAUAGCCUUUCGAAAGGAAGAUUAAUACCCUAUAAUAUAUUGAUUGGCAUCAAUUGAUAUUGAAAACUCCGGUGGAUAGAGAUGGGCACGCGCAAGAUUGGAUAGUUGGUGAGGUAACGGCUCACCAAGUCGAUGAUCUUUAGGGGGCCUGAGAGGGUGAUCCCCCACACUGGUACUGAGACACGGACCAGACUCCUACGGGAGGCAGCAGUGAGGAAUAUUGGACAAUGGGUGAGAGCCUGAUCCAGCCAUCCCGCGUGAAGGACGACGGUUCUAUGGAUUGUAAACUUCUUUUGUACAGGGAUGAACCUACCCUCGUGAGGGUAGCUGAAGGUACUGUACGAAUAAGCACCGGCUAACUCCGUGCCAGCAGCCGCGGUAAUACGGAGGGUGCAAGCGUUAUCCGGAUUUAUUGGGUUUAAAGGGUCCGUAGGCGGACUUAUAAGUCAGUGGUGAAAGCCGGCAGCUUAACUGUCGAACUGCCAUUGAUACUGUAGGUCUUGAGUGUAUUUGAAGUGGCUGGAAUAAGUAGUGUAGCGGUGAAAUGCAUAGAUAUUACUUAGAACACCAAUUGCGAAAGGCAGGUCACUAAGAUACAACUGACGCUGAUGGACGAAAGCGUGGGGAGCGAACAGGAUUAGAUACCCUGGUAGUCCACGCUGUAAACGAUGCUAACUCGUUUUUGGGUUUUUAAGACUCAGAGACCAAGCGAAAGUGAUAAGUUAGCCACCUGGGGGAGUACGUCGCAGAUGAAA